GGAACACUGUAGUGAAGGAAAAGGCAGCAAACAUUUGAAAACAUGGAGGAUAAGUUACAAAUACUGAAGUUCGACAAGCCGUGGUAUGUUAUGGUGGAAGACCAUGAAAUGUGUCAGAGCAUUUUUGACGAUCUUCUUGAAAAAGUGGAUAGAGAGAUUGCUAUCAAAAACAAACUGGACGCUCUAAUGGCAAGAGCGCAGGAAAGGCAAAGGAGGUAUGAAAUUCUCAAGUUUGAUAGACCGUGGUGCGAAAUGGUG